GGGUUGUGAGGUUAAGCGACUAAGCGUACACGGUGGAUGCCCUGGCAGUCAGAGGCGAUGAAGGACGUGCUAAUCUGCGAUAAGCGUCGGUGAGGUGAUAUGAACCGUUAUAACCGGCGAUUUCCGAAUGGGGAAACCCAGUGUGUUUCGACACACUAUCAUUAACUGAAUCCAUAGGUUAAUGAGGCGAACCGGGGGAACUGAAACAUCUAAGUACCCCGAGGAAAAGAAAUCAACCGAGAUUCCCCCAGUAGCGGCGAGCGAACGGGGAGGAGCCCAGAGCCUGAAUCAGUGUGUGUGUUAGUGGAAGCGUCUGGAAAGGCGUGCGAUACAGGGUGACAGCCCCGUACACAAAAAUGCACAUAUUGUGAGCUCGAUGAGUAGGGCGGGACACGUGGUAUCCUGUCUGAAUAUGGGGGGACCAUCCUCCAAGGCUAAAUACUCCUGACUGACCGAUAGUGAACCAGUACCGUGAGGGAAAGGCGAAAAGAACCCCGGCGAGGGGAGUGAAAAAGAACCUGAAACCGUGUACGUACAAGCAGUGGGAGCCUCUUAAUGGGGUGACUGCGUACCUUUUGUAUAAUGGGUCAGCGACUUAUAUUCUGUAGCAAGGUUAACCGAAUAGGGGAGCCGAAGGGAAACCGAGUCUUAACUGGGCGUUAAGUUGCAGGGUAUAGACCCGAAACCCGGUGAUCUAGCCAUGGGCAGGUUGAAGGUUGGGUAACACUAACUGGAGGACCGAACCGACUAAUGUUGAAAAAUUAGCGGAUGACUUGUGGCUGGGGGUGAAAGGCCAAUCAAACCGGGAGAUAGCUGGUUCUCCCCGAAAGCUAUUUAGGUAGCGCCUCGUGAAUUCAUCUCCGGGGGUAGAGCACUGUUUCGGCAAGGGGGUCAUCCCGACUUACCAACCCGAUGCAAACUGCGAAUACCGGAGAAUGUUAUCACGGGAGACACACGGCGGGUGCUAACGUCCGUCGUGAAGAGGGAAACAACCCAGACCGCCAGCUAAGGUCCCAAAGUCAUGGUUAAGUGGGAAACGAUGUGGGAAGGCCCAGACAGCCAGGAUGUUGGCUUAGAAGCAGCCAUCAUUUAAAGAAAGCGUAAUAGCUCACUGGUCGAGUCGGCCUGCGCGGAAGAUGUAACGGGGCUAAACCAUGCACCGAAGCUGCGGCAGCGACACUAUGUGUUGUUGGGUAGGGGAGCGUUCUGUAAGCCUGUGAAGGUGGCCUGUGAGGGUUGCUGGAGGUAUCAGAAGUGCGAAUGCUGACAUAAGUAACGAUAAAGCGGGUGAAAAGCCCGCUCGCCGGAAGACCAAGGGUUCCUGUCCAACGUUAAUCGGGGCAGGGUGAGUCGACCCCUAAGGCGAGGCCGAAAGGCGUAGUCGAUGGGAAACAGGUUAAUAUUCCUGUACUUGGUGUUACUGCGAAGGGGGGACGGAGAAGGCUAUGUUGGCCGGGCGACGGUUGUCCCGGUUUAAGCGUGUAGGCUGGUUUUCCAGGCAAAUCCGGAAAACCAAGGCUGAGGCGUGAUGACGAGGCACUACG
rnacentral:rRNA from 1 species